GCCCGGCUAGCUCAAUGGGUAAGUUUAUUAUCAUAAUUCUUUUAAAUUCAAAAAAGCUAACUUCCUAUAAAGUCAGAGCGUCUGACUUUUAAUCAGAAGGCUGUGGGUUCGAGUCCCACGUCGGGCG
rnacentral:tRNA from 1 species